CAGCCCCGACAAGUCUUUGGACACGUGC
rnacentral:sRNA from 1 species